GUAGGUGGCAAGCGUUGUCCGGAAUUAUUGGGCGUAAAGCGCGCGCAGGUGGUUCUUUAAGUCUGAUGUGAAAGCCCACGGCUCAACCGUGGAGGGUCAUUGGAAACUGGAGAACUUGAGUACAGAAGAGGAAAGCGGAAUUCCACGUGUAGCGGUGAAAUGCGUAGAGAUGUGGAGGAACACCAGUGGCGAAGGCGGCUUUCUGGUCUGUAACUGACGCUGAGGCGCGAAAGCGUGGGGAGCAAACAGGAUUAGAUACCCUGGUAGUCCACGCCGUAAACGAUGAGUGCUAAGUGUUAGGGGGUUUUCCGCCCCCCUUAGUGCUGCAGCUAACGCAUUAAGCACUCCGCCUGGGAGUACGGCCGCAAGGCUG
rnacentral:rRNA from 1 species